rnacentral:rRNA from 1 species
GUCUAAGUAUAAGUUACACAAAGCGAAACUGCGAAUGGCUCAUUACAACAGUUGUAAUUUAUUUGAUGAUUUUUUUACAUGGAUAACCGUGGGAAACUAGGGCUAAUACAUGCGUAAAGCUUUCGGGCUGUAUUUAUUAGUUUCAGACCAAUGCGGCUCAAACCGCUUUGUGAGGAAUCAAGAUAACUGAUCGAAGCCAAUCUUUUGGCUAAAUCAUUCGAGCUUCUGACCUAUCAGCUUGUUGUUAGUGUAUUGGACUAACAAGGCGGUAACAGGUAACGGAGAAUUGGGGUUCGAUUCCGGAGAGUCAGCCUGAGAAACGGCUGACAUUUCUACGGAAGGCAGCAGGCGUGAAAAUUACCCAAUCACAAUUCGUGGAGGUAGUUAAUAGACAUAACAGUUCCGGCCUUUUAGGUUUGGAAAUGUAAUGAACUCAGUCUAGACAGCUGGGUGAAAUCCAUUGGAGGGCAAGUCUGGUGCCAGCAGCCGCGGUAAUUCCAGCUCCAAUAGCUUUGUUGAAAGUUGCUG